UUGUUUACUAGGUUUACAAAAGAUUAGUGGGAGUUAGUCAUAUUCCUAAAUUUGUAUGUAUAUAUAUAUAUAAAUAUAUAUGUGAUAUAUAUGAAUGUAUAUAUGAUUUAUUAAUUUUGGAAAUGAAAUGAAUACUUCUUCGUUAAAGUUAUGACUUUAAACAUUCGUUAAAGUUAUGACUUUAAACAUUCUAUAAAGAUAGAAUGUAUAUGGGAGACAUAGUCUAUAUACAUGGGAUGGAAAUCUAUAUUGAUAGAUUUUAGGAUAUAAUUUGAUUAUAUAUAAAUCCCUAAUAAUAGACAAAAGAUGCUAGGAAGUUUCUCAUAUGAUGAUAAACUUUAAUCAGAAGAACAACUCUAGUGAGACUAGGAGGUAGCUCUUCUCAAAGGGAACGUACCCUUUGACUCCCAAAAGAAAUAAUGCGUAAAUAAGAAUCCUUUAUGCAUACGCAUAAAGGUGAUUUAUGUAUUUCAUAUUGUAUGAAAAACAUUGAUAUGGGUUGUACCUAGAAAGGUACAAGACGAUAUCAGUGCAAGCCCAGGAUCAGAACCAUGGCAACUGUCAAGUGAGUCCUUAAGUAUUUAAGAAAUACUAAAAGAUAGAUUCCUCAAAGAAUGAGGAAGAAUUAGAGUAACGUAAUGGAAGCGUAAAUGUAUUAGAUUAUGAAUCUAAUCCAUCAUUGGAUGUUUCUUCAUUAUGAAUGAAGAGAUAAACAGAUAUCUCUUUAUUAUGACUAAAGAGAUAUUUGGAUGGAAACAUUAAAGUAAUGACUUUGGUGUGUUCCAUUAUGAAUGCAAAAUAUAUUGCCAUAUAGAAGUUUACAACAGUGUUGUUUGGAUGGGAAAGUUCAUUUAGUGAACUCUCUAUUCGGUUCCAACCAGAAAGUGUAUCUAGUGUACUG
rnacentral:lncRNA from 1 species